rnacentral:piRNA from 1 species
GAUGUAAAUGUGUAUGUGAUUCACGAUG